rnacentral:rRNA from 1 species
UACGUAGGGGGCAAGCGUUGUCCGGAUUUAUUGGGCGUAAAGAGCGUGUAGGCGGCCAGGGAGGUCCGUUGUGAAAACUCGAGGCUCAACCUCGAGACGCCGAUGGAAACCCCCUGGCUAGAGUCCGGAAGAGGAGAGUGGAAUUCCUGGUGUAGCGGUGAAAUGCGCAGAUAUCAGGAAGAACACCCGUGGCGAAGGCGGCUCUCUGGGACGUGACUGACGCUGAGACGCGAAAGCGUGGGGAGCGAACAGG